GCUGGAAGGGAGCCUCGCCUGCAGGAGGGGACCGACCUCGCCAGUGGAAGUGCCCUGUGCCCUCCCUAUAGCUGUCACUGCACACACAAUCAUUCGCUCCGGCCAAGAGGUCAGCUAGGAGAACCACCUAUGAAAUCCCACCUUUGGAAUUGCUCAUGUUGCGUAUUUGUUUUGCCUUGGACGAUAGAGAACGCAAAGGGUUCACAGACCAUUCCUCAGAGCAGGUGUGUCCGAGCUUUUCAGCAUAACCAGAGAAAAGUCUUCCUUGGCUUCUUACAAAGACAGCAAAUACCUAUUGCAAAGGAGAAAAAAUUUUAAUUUUAGACUGUUAACAUCCAUUUGAAGAUGUUGCAGAUUGAUAUAAAUAUCCUCAAUAAAAGUAUUAUCAGUUUGUCAA